GUCGCCAUGAUGAACAGGUUUUUAUUGUUGCUGGGUCUGGCAGGGUGCAGUCAGGCCUUUCUGGAAAGCCUCUGGGGUGGGCCUUCAUGGGAUGGCUUGGGAGUGACUUGGGGUAUUAACCCUCUCGGAUGGGCUUUCAACCAGAUGCCAAGGACCGAAUCCGAUGCUAUCUACUAUGGAUGGACCA